CAGGUAGUUUAACCUUCGGGAGGACGCUUGCCACUUUGUGGUUCAUGACUGGGGUGAAGUCGUAACAAGGUAGCGCUAGGGGAACCUGGCGCUGGAUCACCUCCUUACACAAAGAU
rnacentral:rRNA from 1 species